UGCCAGCAGCCGCGGUAAUACUGAAGGUGCAAGCGUUAAUCGGAAUUACUGGGCGUAAAGCGCGCGUAGGUGGUUCAGUAAGAUGGAAGUGAAAUCCCCGGGCUUAACCUGGGAACUGCUUUCAUAACUGCUGAGCUAGAGUACGGUAGAGGGUAGUGGAAUUUCCUGUGUAGCGGUGAAAUGCGUAGAUAUAGGAAGGAACACCAGUGGCGAAGGCGACUACCUGGACUGAUACUGACACUGAAUUACGAAGGCGUAGGUAGCGAACAGGAUUAGAUA
rnacentral:rRNA from 1 species